rnacentral:rRNA from 1 species
CGCAUGCAGGUGGUUUGUUAAGUCAGAUGUGAAAGCCCGGGGNUCAACCUCGGAAUUGCAUUUGAAACUGGCAAACUAGAGUACUGUAGAGGGGGUAGAAUUUCAGGUGUAGCGGUGAAAUGCGUAGAGAUCUGAAGGAAUACCGGUGGCGAAGGCGGCCCCCUGGACAGAUACUGACACUCAGAUCGCGAAAGCGUGGGGAGCAAACAGGAUUAGAUACCCUCGGUAG